ACGUAGGUGGCAAGCGUUGUCCGGAAUUACUGGGUGUAAAGGGAGCGCAGGCGGGAGAGCAAGUUGGAAGUGAAAUCUGUGGGCUCAACUCACAAAUUGCUUUCAAAACUGUUUUUCUUGAGUGGUGUAGAGGUAGGCGGAAUUCCCGGUGUAGCGGUGGAAUGCGUAGAUAUCGGGAGGAACACCAGUGGCGAAGGCGGCCUACUGGGCACUAACUGACGCUGAGGCUCGAAAGCAUGGGUAGCAAACAG
rnacentral:rRNA from 1 species